CUUUCGCACACGAAGAGGCAAGCGCUGUGCUCUGAAACAAAGCGGAUCUAUAUCGUCUGACGCGGACACAUUUAAGUGAACCGAGGACGCAGUAGCCCAUGUGUGUAUGUAUAGGGAGGUGUGGCUAUGGCUGUGGCUGUAAGCCAGGAGGCCGGGCUACAGGCACCGUCAGGCCUGAGGAAGGCUGGCCACGCCCGAGGAGGAUGCCACACACCUGCAGCGGAUCAGCGUCGGCGGAGGGAGCUACUUAAUGGUGUGGUGAAGCCUCCACCGACGCGGGAUGAUUGAGUGAGACUCCAUGAAGAGCAUGGGAAGCCCGAGAGCAGCAAACAUUGGGAGUGCUGACACACAGAGGGGAGAGCACGAGGCGAUUGGGAAGAAGACACAGCACGGGAGUCAGGGGAGAG